AGGACGAACGCUGGCGGCGUGCUUAACACAUGCAAGUCGAGCGGUAAGGCCCUUUCGGGGGUACACGAGCGGCGAACGGGUGAGUAACACGUGGGUGAUCUGCCCUGCACUCUGGGAUAAGCCUGGGAAACUGGGUCUAAUACCGGAUAUGACCUGCUCUCGCAUGGGGGUGGUGGAAAGAUUUAUCGGUGCAGGAUGGGCCCGCGGCCUAUCAGUCUUGGUUGGUGGGGUAAUCGGACCUACCAAGGCGACGACGGGUAGCCGACCUGAGAGGGUCGACCGGCCACGACGUGGGACUGGAGACGACGGCCCAGACUCCGUACGGGAGGCAGCAGUGGGAAUAGUGCACAAUGGGACGAAAGCCUGAUGCAGCGACGCCGCGUGAGGA
rnacentral:rRNA from 1 species